AUGCCAUGUUCAUGCUCAUUUGACUUCAUGGCGUUAUGCAUUCAAAAGAAAGACAAAGCUAGCAGAGCACAAUUCAAAGGCAACAUAGAUUCACGUUUAAACUCAUGUAACAGAACCAUAACCAGUUCACAUACCAGAACCGGACAUCAUCAAUGCAAUGAAGAAAAUUGUUGCUCAUGGCUACACUGA